UCGCGUCAAGCGCCGUAGGCAGGAGCGGGGGACCCAGGUAAGUGCCGGGCCCGGCAGCCGGACCACCACGUGGUCCCGGACGGCCGGACACGGCUUGGGGUGAAGUCGUGCGCCACAAGCGGCGCGCGACCGGGCAACUCAACCGGCCCGAACCCGACAGCUCACCUCGCAGGCGUCGGUGAGGGGAUCU
rnacentral:sRNA from 2 species